GAUGAACGCUGGCGGCGUGCCUAAUACAUGCAAGUCGAGCGAACAGACGAGGAGCUUGCUCCUCUGACGUUAGCGGCGGACGGGUGAGUAACACGUGGAUAACCUACCUAUAAGACUGGGAUAACUUCGGGAAACCGGAGCUAAUACCGGAUAAUAUAUUGAACCGCAUGGUUCAAUAGUGAAGGACGGUUUUGCUGUCACUUAUAGAUGGAUCCGCGCCGCAUUAGCUAGUUGGUAAGGUAACGGCUUACCAAGGCGACGAUGCGUAGCCGACCUGAGAGGGGGAACCGCCAAACCGGAACUGAGACACGGUCCAGACUCCUACGGGAGGCAGCAGUAGGGAAUCUUCCGCAAUGGGCGAAAGCCUGACGGAGCAACGCCGCGUGAGUGAUGAAGGUCUUCGGAUCGUAAAACUCUGUUAUUAGGGAAGAACAAAUGUGUAAGUAACUAUGCACGUCUUGACGGCACCUAAUCAGAAAGCCACGGCUAACUACGUG
rnacentral:rRNA from 1 species